CAGCCGCCGCGGGAAUACAGAGGCCUCAAGCGUUGUUCGGAUUCAUUGGGCGUAAAGGGUGCGUAGGUGGCUUGGUAAGUUGAAGGUGAAAUCUCGGGGCUUAACCCCGAAACUGCCUUCAAUACUGCUAGGCUCGAGGACUGUAGAGGAGAAUGGAAUUCACGGUGUAGCAGUGAAAUGCGUAGAUAUCGUGAGGAAGACCAGUGGCGAAGGCGAUUCUCUGGGCAGUUCCUGACACUGAGGCACGAAGGCCAGGGGAGCAAACGGGAUUAGAUACCCCAGUAGUCCCUGUCUCUUAUAA
rnacentral:rRNA from 1 species